rnacentral:rRNA from 1 species
ACGCUGGCGGCGUGCUUAACACAUGCAAGUCGAACGGAAACGGCCCCCACCUUGGUGGGGGUGCUCGAGUGGCGAACGGGUGAGUAACACGUGGGUGAUCUGCCCUGCACUUCGGGAUAAGCUUGGGAAACUGGGUCUAAUACCGGAUAGGACCAUGGUUUAGUGUCUCAUGGUGGAAAAAUUAUUGUUUUGGUGCAGGAUGAGCUCGCGGCCUAUCAGCUUGUUGGUGGGGUAAUGGCCUACCAAGGCGUCGACGGGUAGCCGGCCUGAGAGGGUGGACGGCCACAUUGGGACUGAGAUACGGCCCAGACUCCUACGGGAGGCAGCAGUGGGGAAUAUUGCACAAUGGGCGCAAGCCUGAUGCAGCGACGCCGCGUGGGGGAUGACGGCCUUCGGGUUGUAAACUCCUUUCGUUAGGGACGAAGCCGCACCUUUUUUGGGUGUGGUGACGGUACCUUUGUUAAGAAGCACCGGCUAACUAC